GCGCCUACGGGGGGCAGCAGUCGGGAAUAUUGCGCAAUGGAGGAAACUCUGACGCAGUGACGCCGCGUAUAGGAAGAAGGUUUUCGGAUUGUAAACUAUUGUCGUUAGGGGAGAUAAAAGACUGUACCUAAGGAGGAAGCCCCGGCUAACUAUGUGCCAGCAGCCGCGGUAAUACGUAGGGAGCGAGCGUUAUCCGGAAUUAUUGGGUGUAAAGGGUGCGUAGACGGGAAAACAAGUUAGUUGUGAAAUCCCUCGGCUUAACUGAGGAACUGCAACUAAAACUAUUUUUCUUGAGUGCAGGAGAG
rnacentral:rRNA from 1 species